AUGAGAAGCACCACUUUUGAUAAGAACUCUGGUGCUCCUGAAGAGCCGAGACGUCCGCGUGGACCGAGAACACCUGACGGAGAACCCACAGAAGCCAACGAAAGGCCGUGCUCGUCGAGCUCAUCACUGAGCAAUGAUUCGUUUGUUCCAGCACCACAAGGACCUCAGAACGGACACACGAGCAGCAGCCAUGACAAUGAUUAUAGUGAAUACCGCCCACGCCGUGGGCCUAAAACUCCGCCUCUUCCACCGCCGGAUGAGCCUGUAAAACAGCAGCAACAGCAGCAGCCAAUUGUUGCUCCAUAUUCCUAUUAUCCAACAUACGGCAGCUCUACAGGAUAUCCGUAUCCGUAUCCGACGAUGAUGAUGCCACAACAAGGAAUUCCUGGAAACACUUUGAACGUCAAUUCGUGCGUCUCGGUUUCGCCGAAAACAAUGGAGUACCCCUAUUUGCCAUCGGAGUAAUGGAAAAUGCGGCAGAAGCGCUGCAUGAUCAAUUUGAAUGGCUCGCCAAGAACUCACCGAAUACACAGGUGAAAGUUGGAAGUCUGACAAAUAAGCAGUUUAUUGAGACAAUGCCAAUGAAGAAAUACUAUGAAUCUGCUAUGGAGACACUUGAUAUGGGCACUUUUAGAUUCGGACCACUAAUGUCACUAUCGAUGGUCGGUACGAAAAACGAAGAAGCCGGCGGAAAUUUCAAAGAAAUGCUCGACGCACUCAACGCUGCUCCAUUCCUCGGUCCAAUUAUGCCGUGGGGUGAUUUUUCGGAAGUUCAGGGUAUAAAAGAGGACACUUCGGACGAUGGACCAAUAUUCUGGGUUCGUCCCGGUGAACAAAUGGUACCGACGGACGGAAAGAAUCGGAGCACUGAGCCACGUCAUCCGCUGGCGACACGUGGCAACGAUCGACGUGAAACUGCAUUUAAUGAUCGAACAAAUGCGCACGCAGAUCAAGUGCGUGAAUCAACUGAAGAUGAUCCAACAACAACAACAACAACUACAACGACUACAAGUUCUUCUUCUUCUUCUUCAAAAUCGAAAAAAUCGGCGAAAUCCGAUCCGACAUUUGUUAAAUCAACGGCUGCUGUGGGUGUCCUACAGGGUAUCAGGAAUCCUGAUGCAAAUGACGAUGAUGAAUAUUAUGAGGAUGAACGAAAAGCUGUUAAAGAAGUUAUUGUAUUUGAUGCACAUGAUUUGCAUAAAGUUGCACAUCAUCUUGCAAUGGAUCUCUACGAACCGCCCGUUUCUCAGUGUCACAGAUGGGUCGACGAUGCGAUUUUGAACACGAUGCGACGAGAGGGUAUUCGAUAUGCAAAACUUGAACUCCACGAGAACGACAUGUACUUCCUGCCACGUAACGUAAUCCAUCAAUUCCGUACAGUUUCCGCGUGCAGUUCGGUAGCCUGGCACGUCCGUCUACGUCACUAUUACGAUGUAGAUCAACCGGCGUCGUUGUCGGAUCCUCAAUUCGAAUGCGAUUCGGAUUAUUCGGAUGAUGGAGAUUUUGAUGAUUAG
rnacentral:misc_RNA from 1 species